GUGUAGGAACAGAAUGGUAACGCAUGCGUGGGGAUGAAGACGCACGCCACGGAGAGCCGGAAGCAAUUACAGAGGAAAGGGAAAAAAAAACAUUGUCGCAAAAAGGUUCAGCUGACAAGUAAACAACGAAGGGGACGUACCUUUGAGUAGUGGGAUUUGUGUGUGUUAUUAUCACAGGCUGUAUAGGUAACCCCUGAAUGGAUAUCGUUGCAUGCUAAGGGGGGAAAGAAGACGGUCUUAAUACUACUGCAUACAGGUCUGCAGCAAAGGUAUUGCAAAUGAGCAUAUUUCCAUUUGUUACUGAAGAACCAGAGUUGGUUUGAUGCAUUAAUGAAGUUCUGCCACGUUUGAAUAGUUGAGCACUGAAGCCAAGAUCUUCCAGAAUUGAUGCCAGUUUGUGGAUAUUUUUAAUCUGAAAGUUGCAUUUGCAUUUGGAUUACUGUUCCUGCUCGCUCAGUUUUGUAAUAAAUCCAUACACACAUCAGUAUCCAUUUCAUUGGCUCGAGGAUUUUGAUGCUGGGUUUCAUCUGCAAUUAACUGCCUCGUGUCUUUGAGCUGAAAGCCUUAUGUAUUUUAUAAGCAACAGAAAAAAUGAAAUUGAUUUUGUAGUAUUGAGACGAUUUUUGAAAUUGUGGGUUACAAGUAUUUCAGUAUUACAAGCAAGUAUCACCCUCUUGAUGUGCAGCUGAAAGGUCAUACAAUUUGAUGACCACUUACUGCAGACAUGUACUUGUGAAAAGACUCCUGACUUCCGUCCUCUUGGAAGAUGAGGUUAAGUUGAGUUGCACCUUGCUAAUUUGGCAACUGUUCUGUUGCUUUAAUGAGUAGUUCUGACUUGUAGAUUUGCCUCCAAAUAGAAUUUAAUGAGGUGAACGCAAGGACUAAUUUCCUCCAUUUCAGUUAGCUCUGUAGUUUCUUCAA